UUCACCCAAAAGAAUAUGUUC
rnacentral:piRNA from 1 species